rnacentral:misc_RNA from 1 species
CGUCUGUGCAUGUAAAUAUCUUUGCCCUGUUCCAGAUUCUUCUUGCAAUUGUUACAGAAACUGAGGAAAUUUUCUGGGGAAAAACUCGUUCGAUCUUUGAAAAACCCGUUUUCUUUUCUCACCGGCGAGUACACGCCGGAGCCGCUUUCAAUUACGCAAUCGCCGAAUAUGUGUGUGGUUCGAGGAUUUGGGCCGUGAGCGAUUACACAAGUGUAAUCUUCAGACUGUUCGAUUUCGUCGGCGGAGAGACAGCCGGUGAAAACCAGAGGGGAAUUUGGAGUUUCCUGGCCGGAGCUUGACGAUCCAAACGCCGAUUUCUUCGCCGGAGACAGAGAUGAAACAGGGGAUAAGGAACCCAGAUGGGAAUUCCUCGUCUUGAUCCCGAAUUCGACUGGCGAAAUUGGAGACUCGUCGGCCGGAGAAACGAACGGCGGAAGAGGAGGAAUUUGAAUCUUCAAUUGAGAUCCCAAUAGAACCAUUCGUGUAUCGGGUUUUGUGGGUUUCGGAUCGGAAUUCUCUUCCGUUAGAGCGUCGACAAUGCCGAGACCGAUCCCUUUUGAAUCCCACGGCCGUUUGGACUCUGUUAAUUGGGUUCUGGGCGAAUUUGAUUCUGCCCAAAACGAAUUUCUCAGACCCAAAAACGGUUCGAGAAUUGAAGUUGGACUCAUUACAGCUUCAGUUUCAGACAAUCCCUUUGAAGAAGAACUUGUAAACAAUCUCGGAGAACCAAAGAAAGACGAACUCAAUUUCCUAUUAUUACUCGUCGGAGAAGGUAAACAUCCACCACCACCGCCACCGGCCAUUAUUUCUCACUUACUAAUUCCACUUCCAGAUCUAAUUCCCCGGAAAAGACAACAACGGGUGAAGAUGAUCGGAAACCGCCAUGGACUGUGAUUUGCUUACCGGAAAAAAGGGUGUUACUAAAACUAAAAUUUCAGUGACUUCCAUUAGUGAAAAGUGAAUUAGAAAGGAAAGGAAGAGAGAAACAAUGGUCAUAAGAGAUUCAGAGAAGAAUUUCUUAAAUCCAUCCCCCCGUCUUUCACGGUCCAGUGCCCCAAAAGGCAGAUUAAAAGGAAACCAGACGUGCUGUAGUAAGAACAGGACAAGAACAGAGACAAAAGAAAUGGAGAUCUUCUUUUUAUUAUUUAACUUUCUGUUAACCCAUAACAAUACAAAAUUUAAGCAUCGCUGAAAAGGAUUCAAGCCCUUAAGAAGAAGCAAAAAGACGAUGAAAUUGAGAGACAAAAAGCAGAGAAAAACUUAUAAAUUCAGUAGUUUAUCAGCUUCUCCAUUAUGGGUUUUGGUUUAACUGUGGGGGAGAUUUGGUUACUGAAAAUUAGUGGGUUAUGAAGAAAAGGUAAAAGGAGGAGGAGGAGGAAGAAG